rnacentral:rRNA from 1 species
AGUGAACGCUGGCGGUAGGCCUAACACAUGCAAGUCGAACGGCAGCACAGAGUAGCAAUACUUUGAUGGCGACCGGCGCACGGGUGAGUAACACGUAUGCAACCUACCUACAUCAGGGGAAUAACCCGGAGAAAUUCGGACUAAUACCGCAUAAUACAGGGAUGCCGCAUGGCAAUAUUUGUUAAAGAUUUAUCGGAUGUAGAUGGGCAUGCGUUCCAUUAGCUUGUUGGUGAGGUAACGGCUCACCAAGGCAACGACGGAUAGGGGAACUGAGAGGUUUGUCCCCCACACUGGAACUGAGGCACGGACCAGACUCCUACGGGAGGCAGGAGUGAGGAAUAUUGGUCAAUGGACGAGGGUCUGAACCAGCCACAUCGCGUGAAGGAAGACUGCCCUACGGGUUGUAAACUUCUUUUGUACAGGAAUAAAAGACAUUACGUGUAAUGUAUUGCAUGUACUGUACGAAUAAGCAUCGGCUAACUCCGUGCCAGCCGCCGCCGUAA